AUGGCGUCGACCUCGAGCUUGGAUUUGGGAAAGAUCGUGCCGACGGCCGGCUACCUCCUCCACCGCUGCGCCGCCGUCCCCAGCGCCCCUGUUCUCCGGGGGAGGAGCGCGAGCGGGCGGUGCGGCCUCGCCGUCUCGGUCUCGUCCUCCAAUGGUGCAGCUGGGCUCUCCCCACUGAGUGACUCGGAGAAGAAAUGCCCUGUGGUGAUGGAGAUCCCACUGGAAGAUAGCUGGAGGCCGCUAAUGUGA
rnacentral:rRNA from 1 species